rnacentral:rRNA from 1 species
UGCCCAGUGACAUUGUUUAACGGCCGCGGUAUUUUGACCGUGCUAAGGUAGCGCAAUCACUUGUUUUUUAAAUGAAGACCUGUAUGAAUGGUGAAACGAGGGCUUAACUGUCUCCCCUUUCUAGUCAAUGAAACUGAUCUGCCCGUGCAGAAGCGGACAUAAACAUACAAGACGAGAAGACCCUUUGGAGCUUUAGACAUAAAGUUAACUGUACCCAAGCCCUAAUAAAAUGGUAUAAAACAAAACAGCAACUAACCAGCGUCUUCGGUUGGGGCGACCAUGGGGAAAAACAAAACCCCCACGCGGGACGGACUAUUCCCUAAACCAAGAGAGACAUCUCUAAGUCACAGAAUAUCUGACCCUUCAGAUCCGGUGAUUAACCGAUCAACGAACCCAGUUACCCCAGGGAUAACAGCGCAAUCCCCUUCAAGAGUCCAUAUCGACAAGGGGGUUUACGACCUCGAUGUUGGAUCAGGACANNNNAAUGGCGCAGCCGCUAUUAAGGG